rnacentral:rRNA from 1 species
UAGAUACCCUGGUAGUCCAUGCCGUAAACGUUGGGCACUAGGUGUGGGGGUUUUUGACUUCUGCGCCGUAGCUAACGCAUUAAGUGCCCCGCCUGGGGAGUACGGCCGCAAGGCUAAAACUCAAAGGAAUUGACGGGGGCCCGCACAAGCGGCGGAGCAUGCGGAUUAAUUCGAUGCAACGCGAAGAACCUUACCAAGGCUUGACAUACACUGCGAUGUUCCAGAGAUGGGGCAGCCUUCGGGGUGGUGU